GAUGAACGCUGGCGACGUGGAUAAGGCAUGCAAGUCAAACGGCUUCUAUUUAUUUAGGAGCAGUGGCAGACGAGGUAGUAACACGUAGGAAUACACCCUUUAGUCAGGAAUAAUCCGUCGAAAGACGGACUAAUACUUGAUAGUCUCUUCGGAGUAAAAUUUUAAUGCUAAAGGAGUAGCCUGCGGAGUAUCAGCUUGUUGGUAGGGUAAAAGCCUACCAAGGCUAUGACGCUUAGGGGAGGUGAGAGCCUGACCCCCACCGAUGGUACUGAGAUACGGACCAUACACCUACGGGUGGCCGCAGUCGAGAAUCUUCCGCAAUGGACGAAAGUCUGACGGAGCGACGUCGCGUGAUCGAUGAAGUCUUUAGGGAUGUAAAGGUCUUUUAUGAGGGAGGAAGUUUAUUGACGUUACCUCAUGAAUAAGGGGUUGCUAAACUCG
rnacentral:rRNA from 1 species